AAGACCAUAGCCAAAUCGGAAAAGGCACUCGUCCUGAGGGCGAGAGAUUGGGGGUUCGAGUCCUCCUGGUUUUA
rnacentral:tRNA from 1 species